rnacentral:rRNA from 1 species
UGGGGGAUAUUGCACAAUGGGCGAAAGCCUGAUGCAGCGACGCCGCGUGGGGGAUGAAGGCUUUCGGGUUGUAAACCUCUUUCGCUAUCGAACAAGGCCCGCUUAGGGUGGGUUGAGGGUAGGUGGAGAAGAAGCGCCGGCUAACUACGUGCCAGCAGCCGCGGUAAUACGUAGGGCGCGAGCGUUGUCCGGAAUUAUUGGGCGUAAAGGGCUUGUAGGCGGCUUGUUGCGCCUGCUGUGAAAACGCGGGGCUUAACUUCGCGCGUGCAGUGGGUACGGGCAGGCUUGAGUGUGGUAGGGGUGACUGGAAUUCCAGGUGUAGCAGUGGAAUGCACAGAUAUCUGGAGGAACACCGAUGGCGAAGGCAGGUCACUGGGCCAUUACUGACGCUGAGGAGCGAAAGCAUGGGUAGCGAACAGG